GAUAACCAUUGGAAACGAUGGCUAAUACCGCAUAAUAGCUUCGGCUCAAAGAGGGGGACCUUCGGGCCUCUCGCGUCAGGAUAUGCCCAGGUGGGAUUAGCUAGUUGGUGAGGUAAUGGCUCACCAAGGCGACGAUCCCUAGCUGGUCUGAGAGGAUGAUCAGCCACACUGGAACUGAGACACGGUCCAGACUCCUACGGGAGGCAGCAGUGGGGAAUAUUGCACAAUGGGCGCAAGCCUGAUGCAGCCAUGCCGCGUGUAUGAAGAAGGCCUUCGGGUUGUAAAGUACUUUCAGCAGUGAGGAAGGUGGUGUCGUUAAUAGCGGCAUCAUUUGACGUUAGCUGCAGAAGAAGCACCGGCUAACUCCGUGCCAGCAGCCGCGGUAAUACGGAGGGUGCGAGCGUUAAUCGGAAUUACUGGGCGUAAAGCGCAUGCAGGUGGUUUGUUAAGUCAGAUGUGAAAGCCCGGGGCUCAACCUCGGAAUUGCAUUUGAAACUGGCAGACUAGAGUACUGUAGAGGGGGGUAGAAUUUCAGGUGUAGCGGUGAAAUGCGUAGAGAUCUGAAGGAAUACCGGUGGCGAAGGCGGCCCCCUGGACAGAUACUGACACUCAGAUGCGAAAGCGUGGGGAGCAAACAGGAUUAGAUACCCUGGUAGUCCACGCCGUAAACGAUGUCUACUUGGAGGUUGUGGCCUUGAGCCGUGGCUUUCGGAGCUAACGCGUUAAGUAGACCGCCUGGGGAGUACGGUCGCAAGAUUAAAACUCAAAUGAAUUGACGGGGGCCCGCACAAGCGGUGGAGCAUGUGGUUUAAUUCGAUGCAACGCGAAGAACCUUACCUACUCUUGACAUCCUCAGAAGAGACUGGAGACAGUCUUGUGCCUUCGGGAACUGAGAGACAGGUGCUGCAUGGCUGUCGUCAGCUCGUGUUGUGAAAUGUUGGGUUAAGUCCCGCAACGAGCGCAACCCUUAUCCUUGUUUGCCAGCGAGUCAUGUCGGGAACUCCAGGGAGACUGCCGGUGAUAAACCGGAGGAAGGUGGGGACGACGUCAAGUCAUCAUGGCCCUUACGAGUAGGGCUACACACGUGCUACAAUGGCGCAUACAGAGGGCAGCCAACUUGCGAAAGUGAGCGAAUCCCAAAAAGUGCGUCGUAGUCCGGAUUGGAGUCUGCAACUCGACUCCAUGAAGUCGGAAUCGCUAGUAAUCGUAGAUCAGAAUGCUACGGUGAAUACGUUCCCGGGCCUUGUACACAC
rnacentral:rRNA from 1 species